AGAGUUUGAUCCUGGCUCAGGAUGAACGCUAGCUACAGGCUUAACACAUGCAAGUCGCGGGGCAGCGGGAGUGAAGCUUGCUUCACUUGCCGGCGACCGGCGCACGGGUGAGUAACGCGUAUCCAACCUUCCCAUAUCCACGGGAUAGCCUGCCGAAAGGCAGAUUAAUACCGUAUGUCGUCAUCAGUUGGCAUCAAAUUUUGACGAAAGGUUUAGCGGAUAUGGAUGGGGAUGCGUCCGAUUAGGUAGUCGGCGGGGUAACGGCCCACCGAGCCAUCGAUCGGUAGGGGUUCUGAGAGGAAGGUCCCCCACAUUGGAACUGAGACACGGUCCAAACUCCUACGGGAGGCAGCAGUGAGGAAUAUUGGUCAAUGGACGCAAGUCUGAACCAGCCAAGUAGCGUGCAGGAAGACGGCCCUAUGGGUUGUAAACUGCUUUAGUGCGGGAAUAAAGUCAGGGACGUGUCCCUGAUUGCAGGUACCGCAAGAAUAAGGACCGGCUAAUUCCGUGCCAGCAGCCGCGGUAAUACGGAAGGUCCGGGCGUUAUCCGGAUUUAUUGGGUUUAAAGGGAGCGUAGGCUGUUUAUUAAGCGUGUUGUGAAAAACCCGUGCUCAACAUGGGUCGUGCAGCGCGAACUGGUGAACUUGAGUGCGGAUGCGGUAUGCGGAAUUUGUGGUGUAGCGGUGAAAUGCUUAGAUAUCACGAAGAACUCCGAUUGCGAAGGCAGCAUGCCAGGCCGUUACUGACGCUGAAGCUCGAAGGUGCGGGUAUCGAACAGGAUUAGAUACCCUGGUAGUCCGCACAGUAAACGAUGGAUGCUCGCUGUAGGGUAUUUGAUAUUCUGUGGUUUAGCGAAAGCGUU
rnacentral:rRNA from 1 species